rnacentral:rRNA from 1 species
UACGGAGGGUGCGAGCGUUAAUCGGAAUUACUGGGCGUAAAGCGUGCGUAGGCGGUUCAUUAAGUCAGAUGUGAAAUCCCGGGGCUCAACCUCGGAACUGCAUUUGAAACUGGUGAACUAGAGUACUGUAGAGGGUGGUGGAAUUUCCAGUGUAGCGGUGAAAUGCGUAGAGAUUGGAAGGAACAUCAGUGGCGAAGGCG